rnacentral:rRNA from 1 species
AACGUAGGAGACAAACGUUAUCCGGAGUUACUGGGCGUAAAGGGCGUGUAGGUGGUUUCGUAAGUCUGGCGUGAAAUUUUUCGGCUUAACCGGGAAAGGUCGUCGGAUACUGCGGGACUAGAGGACGGUAGAGGCGUGUAGAAUUCCGGGUGUAGUGGUGAAAUGCGUAGAGAUCCGGAGGAACACCAGUGGCGAAGGCGACACGCUGGGCCGUACCUGACACUGAUGCGCGACAGCAUGGGGAGCAAACAGG